rnacentral:rRNA from 1 species
CCUGCCCCGAAGCGGGGACAACAGCCUGAAAGGGCUGCUAAUACCGCAUGUGGAUCGCCUCGGCAUCGAGGAUUAUCCAAAGGCCUGCAGCGAUGUGGGUCACUUCGGGAUGGGCCCGCGGCCUAUCAGCUAGUUGGGGGGUGACGGCCCACCAAGGCUUCGACGGGUAGCUGGUCUGAGAGGACGAUCAGCCGGAUUGGGACUGAGAUACGGCCCAG